rnacentral:tRNA from 1 species
UGCCCAGUAGCUCAGCGGUAGAGCAGUUGACUGUUAAUCAAUUGGCCGCAGGUUCGAUCCCUGCCUGGGCAGCCA